rnacentral:lncRNA from 1 species
CUCACUCUCCUUAUCAGACUUACCAAUUCUCACUCUCCUUAUCAGACUUAUCAUUCUCAUCACCCUCCUGAUCAGAUCCAGCACUGUUGGACGGACAUGGAGGAAGAAUAUUUCCUGAUUCAAAAAGAAAAGUUAGUUGGGCCUGAAGCGCUGCAUACCUCUUGUUCUCUACCUCCUUUGCUGCCGCAAUCUCCUCCUCUCUCUUCCUCACUCUUUCUUCUCUCUUUUGGCUACACUAGCAAGCUCGGCAUUGAGAUAAGCUACCGUACUCUCCAUUGUGAAUAUUGUCUCUCUAUACCCGCCAUCAAAGCUUGAGGAUGAUGAACCACAAUACCAAGACUUCUUCUUCUGAUACGCCUUUUCUGGAUAGCCGUAGACUGAACCUCUAAUCGGUUCACUAGCACUCUGUUUCCAAAGAUUCUCGUUUUCUUCUUGUGUAAAUGGUCUGUCCUGAUUCUCAAGAGGUAGAGUACUACGAUAUUCCUGAGAUAUUCGUAUAUACCUAUCCUGUAAUUUAAACAAAGAACUCUACAAAUAUAGUGUCACUUUCAACCUCAACAUGACUAGUCCAAACUGUAAACCCUGGUUUGAAUCCAUUCAUCAUAAGAUGCAUAGCAUAACAACAGUCUCUGUUGUAUGAUAUCUCACAUUUUCACAAUAUACACACGGACACCUAAUCAAUCUUGAAGUUAAAAAUCAUCAAGUGUCUUUGCAUGAUUUAUAAAUCUAGUGACACCUUCUGCGAAUUCUGGAUUCAUACCCGCUCGACCAGGAUUGUUUCUAUUAUACAUCCAACUACGAUCAGGAUCCAUCUACACAAACAAUAAUGAUAAUUUUAAUUCCAACAGCUAAAUAACAUUUGAACUUAUUUAAACAACUUAACAACUUUCUAAGUCUAACUAGUUUUGACAUAUUU